GAGAGUUCCAGCUGAAAAAAAGCCCUGAUCUAGCCCAAUAUUGUGUUAUUCUGACAGGCAACAGAUCUAAUGGAUCUCAGGCAGUGGGCUUUCCCAUCAUCUGCCACCACCUUUAAAAACAUACACACACACACACACACACACACACACACACAACCUGGAGAUAACAGGAAUUGAACCUGGGCUAUUUUUGCCAUGCAAAUCAUGUGCUUUACCACUGAGAUAUGGUCCCUUCCAUAUACACAGAAGCACCAGCCUGAUGGAAGACAUUUGAACCCCAGACAACAAAAUCCCAGGCACACCUGUAUGAAAAAAAAAAGUGUGGAAGGGUACACAAUGCUCAAGCAAAGUGAAAAUAGAGCAUGCAACUUUGAUUGAGGAAGCACAUAAUACUGAGUGAAAAGGUCAGGUUCUGGUGUUUCUAUGAAGCAGUCUUCAUCUCUCUCGAUUCAGAAUUGGUACAUUCCAGUGCAAACAGACAGCUUUCAAGAGGAAAGAGGGCCUGAGCAUUACUUCUUCCUUUUAAACAUUGAAGAAACAAGAGAACUUGGAUAAGUUAAGAAAGGAGCAGGGGUCAUAUUGGGACAAGAGCAGCAGCCAACUACCUGGCUAAAUGGGCUUGUCAGAAAGGAUGGUGGAGUGACUAUGCAUGAGGAGAGAACUCUCUCACUCAAUUGAUGUGGUGCUUUCCAACCAAAUUAUUCAGCCCAUGACCUUGAUGGCCAUCCGGCAAGCAGCUGCGGUAUCUACUCUCUUUCGCUAUUGCAGGUGCAGUUAGCAACAGUUGGAUCUCCUGCUUGGGUGAGUUUACUUCUCAGCUUUAUAACAAAAUUAAAUCACAAAAGGAACAUUUAUAACACUAUGUACUCUCUAAGUGGCUUGCAGACAGCAAGCACAUAGUAAGGGCUCGUCCACUUCCUUCUGCUCAACCACUAGGUUUGCAUAGUAUUUUUUCCCCCCUGGAACAAAAAUUCUUACAAAUUGUGAAGUCAGCUGUGUGGACUGCCCAGGGCAUGCACUUGAACUCAGUGGACCAGUGGGAGUCAGUAUAAGUUAGAACACCCACAAGACUAAGUGGAAAUCCUUGCACUGAUGGGAUACAUUACUCAACGCUCCUUUGGAUGCAAUCCAAGGAAACCAACAAUUAAAGCUUCCUUCUCUUCACCCCUUGUGAGAAAGGAAUCUAUCUGACACUGGGGCAAUAAACAGAAGCUGUUCAAAGGGUAGAAAUUAUCAUGGCUUUUGGCCAACACAAUUCAUUACAGCUCCAGCUCCACCCUCCUCUACCUUUCAGACCAACCACCACGUAACUAAUUGGUGCCAUUCUGCUGCUAUUUGCUAGAGUGCAGAAAGGGGAAAUAUCACAAACAAAAAAGCAUGCCAAAUCUCACAGCUUGCGUUGUCUUUAUUACAUUACCUUACAUUCAGAGCUUAUGCUGAUUAGAAUAAAGCAAGCCACUGAUGAUGACCCAUGAUGAUUCAAGACCCGCACCCCACUGACCUGGCUGCUUCCCUGGCUUCAUCUGUUUAAAGCCACGUAAGCUGUUCUUCUAUCUUCUUGUUGCUAAGGCUUAUCCCAGCGGGAUCCUGCUCCUCUUAAAUCUUUCUCUGUAAAGUCACUCGAACUGUGGCAUUCCAAGAGACCAAGAAACAGAACUGCAAGGAAAAACCUAACUGUAUUCACAGGAGGGCACAAAGUGCUAGAAGUAAAACCUAAAUAGAAGCCAAGGUGAACCUUUAUUUCUCCUGGUCUACAAAAGGCAAAAAAAUAAAUAAAUUGGAUUUCUGUGAAACCCAAAUCAGAUCACAACAAAAAAUAUUUUUCUCAUAUUGGUUCGUGGUGAGGGUGUGAACAACAACAACAACAACAACAAAAUAAUGAUACAGUAGUACCAUCUGUCACCAUCCCCAACAGAGUGAAUCACAAGUGCAUAACACAAGAGCUUCAGUGCUUAGCUGUUUAACUGACGUCUUGGUUUGGUCCAACAGAAUGACAAUUUGGGAAAUAAUCAUUUUUCUCCAUAAGGCUCAGGGGUCUAAUUAAGGCUAAAGACCCAAUAAACAAAAAUAUCUCAGCAAUGAAGGACAGAGGCAGGUGAUGCAAUGAUUUUAAUGAUUUCAACGGAUGCAUUUUAGCUUCUGGAUGAUUUGAUACUUUUAAGCCCUUACAAUGUGGAAGAAUAUUCAUGUUCAGCAGCCAUCGGACCUAUUACUUCUUGCCUUUUCUCCUGUCCUCUUACCCCAAGGUAUUUCACACUGCAGUAUUUCUUGGGAAAUGGGAUAAGGACAAAUGGACAGCCACAGCAGGUCAAAGCACAGUUGUAUAGAAGGGAGACUCCAGGAGAUCAGACUUAGGAGGGCCAUAUGAUCAGGGUAUCUAUGAGACAUUCUCUCCUUCUCUGCUGAGCGCAUGCACCAGGGAUAGAACUAUCUCUCCAAAAGGCUGCCCUUCAUUUCCAUGCUUCGUAUGUGGAUACCUUGCCUAUGCAAAAACAACAAGUGCACAUUUUAAAAGGGAAAACAAUCUACUUAGCAUAUUGGCCGCUUAAGGCUGCAGGAAGCAGCAGUUGCAGCCGGCCACAGACCACAGCUGCAGGCGCCCGUCUGGUAUCUGGGCAGCCAAAGGAUGGCAUCAUUUCCUCUUCCACCAGCCGCUCAGGAUUCUAGGGGGUGCCUGUGAUUUUGACUAAACAUGGUCAAGCAUGGAGGUGUGACCUGGGGACACAGAGGAGAUUGAUGACGUCUGUCUAGUCUGCUCCUUGGACAUAAAAAAAAGCCAUGCUGGGGUUCCUCUUGCAGUUGGAGCUCCGGCUCCCCACUCGCCACCUGUAGCUCUAUGUGUGGGUCUGCCUGUCUUAGACCUUGCUAUGAAAGUAUUCAGUCACUGUAUUUGGGGCCAGGGAAGAAUUUGCCUUCAGAGAAACUGGGCCCGUCUGGGGGUUUUGCCUCCCUCGCAGCAAUCAUGACAACUUGAUGGUGGAUAAGGCACUGGGGUUUAUCCUUAGUCUGGUUGAACAGCGGGUUGGAACCUCCACCACCAGCAGCUGGUCCAGGGAAACAGGGUAUCCCCUUAAAGGAUUGUGGAGAUGCUUCUGUCCAAAUGCCCAGAUGGAGGUGAGCAAGCCAUAGAUCCACCCAGGUGAUUUCGGGCAGGGUCACCCUGAUUUGGUCAAACCUGCCAAUAUAAUCAACCAGGAUACACUCCCAAUGCCUGCACCGAAACCUGUUGACACAGCUUCAACUUUCUUGAAGCUGUAGCCUAUUUAAAUCCCAAAUGGUAGCCCUGUGUUUACUGCAAUUCUGCCAGCUGUAGAGCCCACAGCUUCUGGCUUCACUGUGGCUGAGGCCCAUCAUAGCUUUUACCACAUUGCUCAGGCUUUGCGUGGAGGUAUCUGUUUGUUUAAAUGAGACUGGGUGGGUUUUAAAAUAGCCUGGUGUUUAGCAAUAGAAGGAAGUUAUGAUAAAAACAGCAGAGUAUGAUACGAGAAGUGUAACAGAUGGCCUUCCUCUAUGUAACUAGCUUCCCCCAGUUUUCUGUUUCAGGGCAUUGAAAUUGCAGACUUGCAAACAGCCAUAAAGCAGAAGAGAUCAAGCCAAACACAAGCCUCGCAGGGUCACUGUUGGGAACAGGAUGCUGCACUGGAUAGACUCUAAUAGACUGCAAUCCUUUGCACACUUUUCUGGGAAGAAGGCCUACUGAACAGCAUGGGACUUACUUUGAAGUAAACAUGCAUAGGAUUGUGCUGCUAGUCUAUUUCAGCAGGCUGUGCUAGAUGGUAGACAAGCAGACCAACCCAAGGAAAUUAAAACUGCAAGGUUGAAAACCAAAAACAAUGAAUACUUCAGAAUUGUGAUGUCUCAAAAAAGAGAAAGAGCAAUAUUUUUCAAACCUCGAUAAAACUGACACACAAAUCCCUUCUAAACUUGAGCCUCAAUAGCAUAGCCACACAGAGUCUAUGGCUCCUGCUUGACUUUUUCUGCCUGUGACCAAACCCCACACGCAAACAUCAUGGCCACUUUGCCUUCCUGACUUUUGCACAUGCCCAAUAUCAUGCCAGUUAUACAUAUUUAUAUUGACUUCAAUAAAGUCAUGAUCUUUGCUUUGUAACUGAACCUGCAUUGGCUGUAUAUAGACCUAAAAAAGGUAAAGGUAAAGGACACCUGACAGUUAAGUCCAGUCGCAGAUGACUUGGGUUGUGGCACUCAUCUCGCUUUACUGGCCAAGGGAGCCGGUGUUUAUCCGCAGACAGUUUUUCUGGGUCAUGUGGCCAGCAUGACUAAGCCGCUUCUGGUGAAACCAGAGCAGCGCACGGUGAUUCAAAACACAAGUGGGGCAAAAAAGAGGAGCAAGAAGUCAGCAGGCUGCUCUUCUUGCCCCUCAUGGGUUUUAAGUAGCAAAAUUCAUGGGGGAAAAACAGCCAGUCUGGUCGUGUUCUAAGAGGGCUGUGUUCCACACUUCUUGGUGAUACAGCACAUGCCUUGCCUGCAGAGGGUUCCAGUUCUGACUUUGGCACCUCCAGCUAAAAGGAUCUCAGGUAGUAAGUGAUGGGGAAGGCUUCCAUCAGAGACCCUGGAGAGCUACUGCAAGCCAGCAGAGUCCGUGAGGAGCUAGGUGGACCAAAAGGGAUGGGGAGAACGUUCAGUUCACAUUUUAAUGCGAACCUGCCUAAAUGGGCACUUUCUGAACCAAUACACAAAUCAAAACACAGCUAUCCUUCAAAAUGCACACUCCUCUGAAUUGUGUGACACAGUCCUUCAAACAAAAAACUUACCGUAUAUUAUGAGCCAUUGGGAGAAAUGUGCACUAAGAUGUUGGAUUAUUUGAUUGUUUGAUUAUUUGAUUGUUGUUAGCCGCCCUGAGCCCGGCUUUGGCUGGGGAGGGCGGGAUAUAAAUAAAAUUUAUUAUUAUUAUUAUUAUUAUAAGAUGCUUGUGAAUUUUCAUGAGGAGCAUUUUUUAAAAAUCACAAACUGGGAAUGUGGUAAACUCAAUUUAAGACUGAGAAAAUGCGAGAACUCCAUAUCAACAGAUUUGUCUAUCCCUAAUCUGGCCUGAUAUAAGGCAACAAGAAAAUAUGAGUUUAAUAACUUUCCUAGGAAAGUGAAGAUAUCAGGGAUAUCAUAC
rnacentral:lncRNA from 1 species